CGCAGCAGCGAAUCUCGAAGAAAUCUAUGAGAUUUCUGAAGCAGCCGUGGCUGGAGAGGGACAGACAGAGACAGAGGAACAUGAGUGGCAUCAGAGUGAGGACCCGGAGGCACCACCAUCCCACUGUGCUGGAAGACUCAUGAUGGGCAGUUUAAAAAAAAAAGGGAUCAAAAUCGAUGCAGCAGAGCUGGAGAUAUUGUCCUAUUUAUUCCACACAUAAUUCUUCCUUGUCAAAACCUGGCGCCUACAUCACCCACAAUGCAACUCAACUGCCGACAGAUUCCGUCCGUGAUUCAGGUGUGUAAUGCUAGUAGCAGCUAAUGUAGCCUCGAAACCGCUAGCCUAAAGCAUGGAGGAGGAGCGGGCUACAGAGGUUUGGUAAACGCACUUCUUUUUAACGCCACACCCCCAGAUUUUUUUUUUCAUUUUCAAACUUCUAGUCUUCAGCACCAACCGACUUUGCCUCAAGUGACAUAACUCAUCAGACUUCACACAGCUCCCUCUGGAGCAACAAAAGGCUUUAUGCUACUUUUUUAAGCAGUAGUACACCCCAUCACCUGUAAACAGACUUGUAAAAUCGGUGGAGUUCCCCUUUAAGUACCUUCAACCAUCUCAUAACCAUCUCUCCUUAAUAUAAAUGUAAAUGUAUUUUCCUGCAGGCUGCAUUAGAAAAAAGAGAUACCAUCUUCGGAGCUUCGUAGAUUGUUCUAGCUGAGUGAAAUAAACAGUGAAUGCCUC